rnacentral:rRNA from 2 species
UACAGAGGGUGCGAGCGUUGUCCGGAAUCACUGGGCGUAAAGGGCGCGUAGGCGGUCUGCUAAGCGUGCGGUGAAAGCCCGGGGCUCAACCCCGGGUCGGCCGUGCGAACUGGUGGACUGGAGCUUGUCAGAGGCAGGCGGAAUUCCGGGUGUAGCGGUGGAAUGCGUAGAGAUCCGGAAGAACACCGGUGGCGAAGGCGGCCUGCUGGGACAGUGCUGACGCUGAAGCGCGACAGCGUGGGGAGCAAACAGG